AGUGAACGCUGGCGGUAGGCCUAACGCAUGCAAGUCGAACGGCAGCACAGUAAGAGCUUGCUCUUACGGGUGGCGAGUGGCGGACGGGUGAGGAAUACAUCGGAAUCUACUUUUUCGUGGGGGAUAACGUAGGGAAACUUACGCUAAUACCGCAUACGACCUACGGGUGAAAGCAGGGGAUCUUCGGACCUUGCACGAUUGAAUGAGCCGAUGUCGGAUUAGCUAGUUGGCGGGGUAAAGGCCCACCAAGGCGACGAUCCGUAGCUGGUCUGAGAGGAUGAUCAGCCACACUGGAACUGAGACACGGUCCAGACUCCUACGGGAGGCAGCAGUGGGGAAUAUUGGACAAUGGGCGCAAGCCUGAUCCAGCCAUACCGCGUGGGUGAAGAAGGCCUUCGGGUUGUAAAGCCCUUUUGUUGGGAAAGAAAAGCAGCAGGUUAAUACCCCGCUGUUCUGACGGUACCCAAAGAAUAGGCACCGGCUAACUUCGUG
rnacentral:rRNA from 1 species